rnacentral:rRNA from 1 species
GACAUUGAAUCGGCUUGUAAUAGAUCGAACCACCACUCUUACCGCCGAUAAAGUGAUUCAUUGCUACGG